GCUAACGUAGCUUAACCAAAGCAUAACUCUGAAGUUGUUAAGAUGGGCCCUAGAAAGGCCCCGAAAGCA
rnacentral:tRNA from 1 species